UUUUUUAGUUUUUUUUUUUGCCCUCU
rnacentral:sRNA from 1 species